rnacentral:ribozyme from 1 species
AAAAGGAAAAAAAAGAAAAAAAGAAAGGGAAACGAAAGAGUCCGCUUUGGGGAGGGUCCUUGGGAUUGUAUUCACAUUCGUAGGGCUUUGUGAAAAGGGUUGGCUUCUUUUUGCAAAAAGUUGGGCUCUUUUCAAAAAGCAAGGAUUCAGAUU